rnacentral:tRNA from 1 species
GGCUACGUAGCUCAGUUGGUUAGAGCACAUUCACUCAUAAUGAUGGGGUCACAGGUUCGAAUCCCGUCGUAGCCACCA